rnacentral:sRNA from 1 species
GGCGGGUGUGGUAGCGCACGCCUGUCAUCCCUGCUGCUGGGAGGCUGAGACAGGAGGAUCCUGAGUUCAAAGCCAGCCUCAGCAACAGCGAGGCACUAAGCAACUCAGUGAGACCCUGACUCUA